AACAAGGAGCAUCCCACAACAACAGUUCUCAGCAACUAUUCCUCAUUGGCAUCCCCCCAGCACGUAUUACAUGUGAAUGAUGAGAAAACUUGAGACCCAAGAAGAAAAUCACAUAAGUAUCAGAGACAGAAUUCAAUCCCAGGUCUCCAACAUUCUUUCCUCUAUAUUAUGCUGCCCUUUAGAAAUAUUUGCAUGUAUACAAUGGCUGUGGUAUGGAGUUUUUGGAAGAUGUAUAGGAAUACCCUCAACAAGAACUUAAGUUGAGCUUAAAACUGAAGGCAAUGGAAACACCAUCCAACAGUAAUCAGCAGAGCAGCCUCUGGUGAAGACUACAAGACCAUGGUCAAUAGGGGAGCAACGUGAAGAAAUCCAUAGCCUGCAUCAUCACAGGCAUGAUUACCCCUCCUCACAUGUACCUUGUCCACAUUGCCAUAAAAGAAGCAACAGACACCACAGGAAGGUGAAGAGCUUCUCCAAAAAUGAUCCCUCCAAGCCAAUCAAUCUUACAGCCUUCCCAAGUUUUAAGGCUGACACUAUCUACUUUGUGAGCUAUAUGCACAUUUCUUGUGGCCUCUAUAAUUCAAAAUCAUCUUUGCUGAGCACAUUAGUAAUGAAUGAAUGAGAAAAUUCCAUGAUAACUGGUUUAAAUCUAAGAAGAAGGCCUUCACCAAAUACUGAAAGAAAUAGCAAGAUGAUGAUGGCAAGAAACAACUGGACAAAGACUUCAUCAGUGUGAAAAAAACA